GAUGAACGCUGGCGGCGUGCCUAAUACAUGCAAGUCGAGCGAACGGAGGAGACGUUCGCUUCGCUGAUGUUACCGGCGGACGGGUGAGUAACACGAAGAUACCCUAUCUAUAGGACUGGGAUAACUUCGGGAGACCGGAGCUAACACCGGUUGAUAUUGUGAACCGCAUGGUUCAAAAGUGAAAGACGGUCUUGCUGACACUUAUAGAUGUAUCCGCGCUGGAUUAGCUAGUUGGUAAGGUAAAGGCUUACCAAGGCGACGAUGCGUAGCUGACCUGAGAGGAUGAUCAGUCACACUGGAACUGAGACACGGUCCAGACUCCUACGGGAGGCAGCAGUGGGGAAUAUUGGACAAUGGGCGAAAGCCUGAUCCAGCCAUGCCGCGUGUGUGAAGAAGGUCUUCGGAUUGUAAAGCACUUUAAGUUGGGAGGAAGGGCAGUAAGUUAAUACCUUGCUGUUUUGACGUUACCAACAGAAUAAGCACCGGCUAACUUCGUG
rnacentral:rRNA from 1 species